GAAGGUUAUUUAAAUCAAGUACUUUUUACCUGAAUACAUAGGGUUUAAAGAGCAAACCUAGGGAACUGAAACAUCUAAGUACCUAGAGGAAAGGAAAUCAACAGAUACUCCGUUAGUAGUGGCGAGCGAACGCGGACCAGCCAAGCCUUGAGUGUGAGCAGAAUCGGUUGGAAAACCGAGCAAUAUGGGUGACAGCCCCGUAUGCGAAGCAUGAUAGGAUGUAUUAAGUAGAACGGGACACGUGAAAUCUUGUUUGAAGAUCGGAGGACCACCUUCGAAGGCUAAGUACUACUUAUUGACCGAUAGCGAACCAGUACCGUGAGGGAAAGGUGAAAAGUACCCCGACAAGGGGAGUGAAACAGUUUCUGAAACCGGACGCCUACAAACAGUCGGAGCCUCCUUGAGAGGUGACGGCGUACCUUUUGUAUAAUGGGUCAACGACUUGGUCUGGCUAGCAAGCUUAAGCCGUUAGGUGUAGGCGUAGCGAAAGCGAGUCUUAAUAGGGCGAUUAAGUUAGUCGGAUCAGACCCGAAACCGAGUGAUCUAGGCAUGUCCAGGAUGAAGGUGAGGUAACACUCACUGGAGGUCCGAACCCACAUCUGUUGAAAAAGAUCGGGAUGAGGUGUGCCUAGGGGUGAAAGGCCAAUCAAACUCGGAGAUAGCUGGUUCUCCGCGAAAUCUAUUUAGGUAGAGCGUCAUCCGAAUACCCCGGGGGGUAGAGCACUGGAUGGGUAAUGGGGCCCCACAGGCUUACUGAUCCUAACCAAACUCCGAAUACCGGGGAGUAAUAUCUAGCAGACACACAGCGGAUGCUAACGUCCGUUGUGGAAAGGGAAACAACCCUAACCUCCAGCUAAGGCCCCUAAUUCAUGGCUAAGUGGGAAAGCAGGUGAUACGACCAAAACAACCAGGAUGUUGGCUUAGAAGCAGCCAUCAUUUAAAGAAAGCGUAACAGCUCACUGGUCUAGAUAAGUUGUGUUGCGGCGAAGAUGUAACGGGGCUCAAGCCAUGAGCCGAAGCUGAGGACACUGUAAAGUGUGGUAGCGGAGCGUUCCGUGAUAUAAAUUCAUACGACUUUCAGUGCACUUCCGAGUGCGUUGAUGUCGAAUGAGUUUUUCUGUGAAGCCGGGCUGUAAGGCAUCCGGUGGAGAGAUCGGAAGUGAGAAUGUUGACAUGAGUAGCGAUAAACAGGGUGAGAGACCCUGUCGCCGAAAGUCCAAGGGUUCCUGCUUAAAGCUAAUCUGAGCAGGGUAAGCCGACCCCUAAGGCGAGGCCGAAAGGCGUAGUCGAUGGGAACCAGGUUAAUAUUCCUGGGCCAGGAGAGUGUGACGGAUCACGAGUGUAGUAAGGUCUUAUUGGAUUGAUUUUGCUGCUUAGUGGUUCCUGGAAAUAGCCCUCCAUUAUGAUCGUACCCUAAACCGACACAGGUGGACAGGUAGAGUAUACCAAGGCGCUUGAGAGAACUGUAUUGAAGGAACUCGGCAAAAUACCUCCGUAAGUUCGCGAGAAGGAGGCCCUAUGUUUAGGCAACUAGAUGUAGGGGACACAACCCAGGGGGUGGCGACUGUUUACUAAAAACACAGGGCUCUGCGAAGCCGCAAGGCGAUGUAUAGGGUCUGACGCCUGCCCGGUGCCGGAAGGUUAAGAGGAGGUGUGCAAGCACCGAAUUGAAGCCCCGGUAAACGGCGGCCGUAACUAUAACGGUCCUAAGGUAGCGAAAUUCCUUGUCGGGUAAGUUCCGACCUGCACGAAUGGCGUAACGACUUCCCCACUGUCUCCAAUACAGACUCAGCGAAAUUGAAUUCCCCGUGAAGAUGCGGGGUACCCGCGGUCAGACGGAAAGACCCCGUGCACCUUUACUAUAGCUUCACAUUGGCAUUAGAUUAGUCAUGUGCAGGAUAGGUGGUAGGCUUUGAAGCAGGAACGCUAGUUUUUGUGGAGCCACCCUUGAGAUACCACUCUUGUCUGAUUUGAUGUCUAACCGCGAUCCGUUAUCCGGAUCCGGGACCGUGUGUGGUGGGUAGUUUGACUGGGGCGGUCGCCUCCUAAAGAGUAACGGAGGCGCGCAAUGGUGGGCUCAGGUUGGUCGGAAAUCAACCGUAGAGUGCAAUGGCAGAAGCCCGCUUGACUGCGAGACUGACAAGUCGAGCAGAGACGAAAGUCGGCCAUAGUGAUCCGGUGGUCCCGCGUGGAAGGGCCAUCGCUCAACGGAUAAAAGGUACGCCGGGGAUAACAGGCUGAUA
rnacentral:rRNA from 1 species